UGGGGAAUAUUGCACAAUGGGCGCAAGCCUGAUGCAGCCAUGCCGCGUGUAUGAAGAAGGCCUUCGGGUUGUAAAGUACUUUCAGCGGGGAGGAAGGGAGUAAAGUUAAUACCUUUGCUCAUUGACGUUACCCGCAGAAGAAGCACCGGCUAACUCCGUGCCAGCAGCCGCGGUAAUACGGAGGGUGCAAGCGUUAAUCGGAAUUACUGGGCGUAAAGCGCACGCAGGCGGUUUGUUAAGUCAGAUGUGAAAUCCCCGGGCUCAACCUGGGAACUGCAUCUGAUACUGGCAAGCUUGAGUCUCGUAGAGGAGGGUAGAAUUCCAGGUGUAGCGGUGAAAUGCGUAGAGAUCUAGCGGAAUACCGGUGGCGAAGGCGGCCCCCUGGACGAAGACUGACGCUCAGGUGCGAAAGCGUGGGGAGCAAACAGG
rnacentral:rRNA from 1 species